CUUUCAACAACGGAUCUCUUGGCUCUGGCAUCGAUGAAGAACGCAGAGAAAUGCGAUACGUAAUGUGAAUUGCAGAAUUCAGCGAACCAUCGAAUCUUUGAACGCACAUUGCGCCCGCCAGCAUUCUGGCGGGCAUGCCUGUCCGAGCGUCAUUUCCC
rnacentral:rRNA from 1 species